rnacentral:rRNA from 1 species
CUACACACGUGCUACAAUGGUUGGUACAGAGGGUUGCCAAACCGCGAGGUGGAGCCAAUCCCUUAAAGCCGAUCGUAGUCCGGAUCGUAGUCUGCAACUCGACUACGUGAAGUCGGAAUCGCUAGUAAUCGCAGAUCAGCAUGCUGCGGUGAAUACGUUCCCGGGUCUU